rnacentral:piRNA from 1 species
UACUUAUUGUUUUACCUGGGGGACC